rnacentral:rRNA from 1 species
CAACAGGGAUUGCCCCAGUAACGGCGAGUGAAGCGGCAACAGCUCAAAUUUGAAAUCUGGCCUUCUGGUCCGAGUUGUAAUUUGUAGAGGAUGCUUUUGGUGAGGUGCCUUCCGAGUUCCCUGGAACGGGACGCCAUAGAGGGUGAGAGCCCCGUCUGGUUGGACACCGAGCCUCUGUAAAGCUCCUUCGACGAGUCGAGUAGUUUGGGAAUGCUGCUCAAAAUGGGAGGUAUAUGUCUUCUAAAGCUAAAUAUUGGCCAGAGACCGAUAGCGCACAAGUAGAGUGAUCGAAAGAUGAAAAGCACUUUGAAAAGAGGGUUAAAUAGUACGUGAAAUUGUUGAAAGGGAAGCACUUAUGACCAGACUUGGGCCCGGUGAAUCAUCCAGCGUUCUCGCUGGUGCACUUCGCCGGCCCAGGCCAGCAUCAGUUCGUCCCGGGGGACAAAGGCUUCGGGAACGUAGCUCCUUCGGGAGUGUUAUAGACCGUUGCGUAAUACCCUGGGGUGGACUGAGGUUCGCGCUUCCGCAAGGAUGC